CUGGCUCGUGGCUGUCUCCCCUGUACCCAGAGCAAUGUCUGGCAUGUGACACACACUAAACAUUUAUCCACUUACAUUAGUAAGUCCCAGAUGAGUCUUACCCACAUGGGCCCCCUAGCAAAUCAUGGGUCUUCAGCUGCACAGAUGCUGACCCAGCCACGGACACCAUCAUGGACACACGGGACAUGCCUGGGUCCACGCAGGCCUGUUUUCCUGUCUCUGCCACUCUGCAUGGCCACACUGGCCUGAGUUCAGUGGCUCCUUGUGGCCUGGUGCCAGUUCUGCCUCUGCUUCUUUGCUCAAGUCUUCUUGGCUGAGUCCCAGCACCCGCCAGCCUCAUAACAGCCCUGCACCAAGCAGAGCAGGGCAGGGACAGGUGAGGGGAGGAGGAGGGUGGUGUGUAUGUCUCUCAGUAGACAUGGUCUGCGGGAGACACCCAGGAGCCUGUGGCCUGAAGGGAAAUAGCCGUGUUCCAGAGGACUCUGGUCUGAGGGGUGCCACCCCCUGCCCUCAGGAGCCAGGUCUGCAGGAGAAACAGUCUGCCCUCCAAAACUUCAAGGAUGGCCCCUGGACAAGAGGCAUAAGACCCACUCAUCCUUAUCCUGCCCCAGGCACACUUAGAACUCAGAGAAGUCCUCUCACCAGGCCUGUAAAUGGGAAGAUGCCAACACUCCCGAGUAGGACGGUGGUGGGGCAGGCGGGAGGUGGGAGGAGAGCCCAGAUCACCCCAGGCACUCCCUAGGGGAUGCAGGGGGACCCUCCCUCCUGGGCCUGGCUCUUCCAGCACGUUCCAUGCAGCAGGCAAGUGGGCCAGGCCCAGGGAUUCCUGACAGCUUGCUGGCCCCAGAGUCCGGAUUCUUUUUGUUUGUUGGCUGGCGCUGGGCCUCUGGAUUGGAGAUGCCCAGGGCGCAGGGGGCCCGCGGGGGUCCGCAGCAGGGCCUUGGCCCCUCCCUUUGCAGGGGCUCGUCUGGGCCCUACUGCUCUCUCCUUCUCCUCAUUUAUCUCUCCCUUUCUACUUCUUGGCUCUGGGUCCAGUCCUAUCUCCCUGUUUCAGUUUGUCUUUUCCUAGCCCUCUGCGUUCUCUCUGUCUCUCUUGGCCCUGCUUGUCUCACUGUCUCUGGUUGGGGGUCUGUCUCUUUCGCUUCCACUUUUGCUCUAUUUCCCGGCUACUGUCUUUCCUUUCUCCUUGUCUGUCUCUUCUCCUCCCCUCAGCCUGCAUCUCUGUCUCUCCCUUUCUCUCCUGCUCCCUCCCUCCCUCCUCUCCAUCACCUUCCAAUGCCAGGUGGGGCUGCCGUUCCUUCCACCUUCCCAGUGACCCGCCAGUGUGACUGCCUUGAGAGGAAAGUCCUAAACUGUCCCAUCUUCACCAACCUGCCCACAAAUCAUUGGUUCAAAUUGCUCUGGAGAAGUUUGGGAGCUCCCAGGGUAGCGGCUUUCUAACAGCUCUGCCUAGCUCAGGCCUGUCCCCAACCACAGCGUGGAGGGCAGCCACAGACAACCUCUCUGCACCUUCUGAUGCCUCUGUGCCCCAUCCACAGAGCCCUGGCUCGGGGAGACUGGGGACUCUGGGACAUCCCUAACAUGGCAUGCAGUGGCCGUGCGGGAGGCCCUGACUGCCCCUCUGGAGCCCUGGACCCAGGGACUCCAGACCAGUGCCUCUCUGGAUUGGGAUGGGGAUAUCAGGCCGGCAGGAUCAUGGUGCCUGCCUCCAGGGAGGGCAACGUCCACCCACUGAGUCCAGCCCGCCCACCCCGCCCACUCCGGAGCACCUGGCUGUGUCCUCAGGAACCCCCUGAGCUUUGCACACAGGGCGAAGACACCUGGAUUUCUCUGGUCCCCUGAGUGGGGCCAGCUUGGAAGAAUUUCCCAAAGCCUAUUAGAGCGACGGCUGCCUCCUGCCUGCCUCCUUGGGCUGGGCAGGGCUGAGGGCGGAGGGAGAGAGAGAGGGAGGGGGAGAGGAGGAAGGAAAAAGUUGGCAGGCGGACAGCAGAGCCGUGUCUGCAUCCAUCCAGAGGAGGUUCGUGCGGUGUGGGGCGGGCCAGGAGUGAAGAGAGGCCUUCCUCCCUUUGUGCUCCCCCCGCCCCCCGGCCC